rnacentral:rRNA from 1 species
AGUGAACGCUGGCGGUAGGCCUAACACAUGCAAGUCGAACGGCAGCACAGUAAGAGCUUGCUCUUACGGGUGGCGAGUGGCGGACGGGUGAGGAAUACAUCGGAAUCUACUUUUUCGUGGGGGAUAACGUAGGGAAACUUACGCUAAUACCGCAUACGACCUACGGGUGAAAGCAGGGGAUCUUCGGACCUUGCGCGAUUGAAUGAGCCGAUGUCGGAUUAGCUAGUUGGCGGGGUAAAUGCCCACCAAGGCGACGAUCCGUAGCUGGUCUGAGAGGAUGAUCAGCCACACUGGAGCUGAGACACGGUCCAGACUCCUACGGGAGGCAGCAGUGGGGAAUAUUGGACAAUGGGCGCAAGCCUGAUCCAGCCAUACCGCGUGGGUGAAGAAGGCCUUCGGGUUGUAAAGCCCUUUUGUUGGGAAAGAAAAGCAGCAGGUUAAUACCCCGCUGUUCUGACGGUACCCAAAGAAUAAGCACCGGCUAACUUCGUG